UGUUUUCAUAUGCACAAACGGAAAAUAAUGUUUAGAAUUAUCUAUCCAAAAUUUUUAAAAAUCACAAUAAAAAAUCAAAGAAAACAUACAAUUUUGUACUAAAAAGUAGAUUUUUUUGAAACUGGUUAACCCAGACUUAAAAACCGGGUAAUUCGGUUAACCGAAAACCAAUGUUUAAAAAAAACGGUUUGCGAAAAACCUGUUUAUUAACCGGUUUGUAAACAAUAAGUUUGUAUUUCAGUUGAAAUUUUUAAAAUAUACCAUAUUAUAUACAGUAUUGUUUAAAACCUAAGCAAUAAGACCCAGAUUCUUUGAUUGUCCAUCAAAAUCUCCUGACUCAAAUCCCUUAGAGAUGCUGUUCGGCGUUUUGAAGUGCAAUUUGAAAAUUAAAAUUUAAACAUUUUGUCAUAUCUUGGCCCGGGCGUAAUUUUGAGCCGAUUUUUUUUAGUUAGACAACAAUCCGGUAGUUUAGUGUUCUAGUCUAGUAAUUAUAAUUUUUGAAGUUUUAAAUGAAUUUUUUAACUGCGGAAUAGGUUGAAUUUAGGCAUUUAGAACGAGUUGUAUUAGCACUGUUAUUAAAGUCAUGAAACAAGCUUUCACUUUGCACUACUGCAAUUUUUUUUUUUUUUUUGCUGGGGUUUUAAAUAGAUUUCAUGAUCAUUCAUGCAUGAUUUCAACAUUAGCGUGUCACUGGGGUGCACGGGUUCAUAUGUGAAAAAUUAGUUCGGUAUUAAAAUGAGUGCUUACAACCAAUGAACAUUCGAUGUUCUCAAGCGAAUUUUCAUUAAUGCACUGUAUUUAUUUAAAAAUGAAUUAAAAAUUGUACAUAUUUCGAUUUAAUUAUAUAUAUUAAAAUUAAUUUUUUGAUAAUUUUAACAAAAAUCUAAUAAAAAAAUAAUGUUAUAUUUAAUAUUUAUUGUAUAAAAUGCAAGUUUUCGUUAAAUUCUAAGAGAAUACCAAAUUAUAUUACAAUCCCUAUAGUCGUUCCCACGACAAUCGGUUCUUCGCACCGGAACGACUCGGAGUUCAACGAACAACGACCAAGGAUUGUCAACCCAGCCACACCGACUUUACACGUAUAGAACUAUUACAUGCUAGA